rnacentral:rRNA from 1 species
UAGUCCACGCCGUAAACGAUGUCUACUAGCCGUUGGAGUCCUUGAGGCUUUAGUGGCGCAGCUAACGCGAUAAGUAGACCGCCUGGGGAGUACGGCCGCAAGGUUAAAACUCAAAAUGAAUUGACGGGGGCCCGCACAAGCGGUGGAGCAUGUGGUUUAAUUCGAUGCAACGCGAAGAACCUUACCAGGUCUUGACAUCCAGAGAACUUUCUAGAGAUAGAUUGGUGCCUUCGGGGAGCUCUGUGACAGGUGCUGCAUGGCUGUCGUCAGCUCGUGUCGUGAGAUGUUGGGUUAAGUCCCGUAACGAGCGCAACCCUUGUCCUUAUUUGCCAGCACGUAAUGGUGGGAACUCUAAGGAGACUGCCGGUGACAAACCGGGAGGAAGGUGGGGACGACGUCAAGUCAUCAUGGCCCUUACGACCUGGGCUACACACGUGCUACAAUGGAUCGUACAGAGGGUUGCCAAGCCGCGAGGUGGAGGCUAAUCCCUUAAAACGGUUCGUAGUCCGGA